GAGGGUACAGCUCUGUGGUUAGAGUACGUGUUCAGCAUGUACGAGGUCGUGGGUUCAAUCCCCAGUACCUCCA
rnacentral:tRNA from 1 species